rnacentral:rRNA from 1 species
UGGGGAAUAUUGCACAAUGGGGGAAACCCUGAUGCAGCGACGCCGCGUGAGCGAAGAAGUAUCUCGGUAUGUAAAGCUCUAUCAGCAGGGAAGAAAAUGACGGUACCUGACCAAGAAGCUCCGGCUAAAUACGUGCCAGCAGCCGCGGUAAUACGUAUGGAGCAAGCGUUAUCCGGAUUUACUGGGUGUAAAGGGAGCGUAGGCGGUAAGGCAAGUCUGAUGUGAAAGGCCGGGGCUCAACCCUGGGACUGCAUUGGAAACUGUUUAACUGGAGUGUCGGAGAGGCAAGUGGAAUUCCUAGUGUAGCGGUGAAAUGCUUAGAUAUUGCGCAGAACUCCGAUUGCGAAGGCAGCGUACUGGCGCCUGACUGACGCUGAGGCACGAAAGCGUGGGGAUCGAACAGGAUUAGAUACCC